ACAUUCUUUUGUCAGUGCAUAUACUAAAGUUGGAACAAUAUGGAGAAGGUCAGCAUAGCCUUGUGCAAAGAUAACAUGCAAACUCAUAAAGCAUUCCAUAUUUUU
ensembl:snRNA U6 U6 spliceosomal RNA